rnacentral:lncRNA from 1 species
AAGAGUGAGCCAGAGGAGAGGCAACUGAAAGGGAAAAGGAACCUCUUGAACAAAAGGUUAAAGAAUUACAGUCAAAGAUGGAGGGCAACAGAAGUGUCUCCUUGAAGGGAGCUAGACUCAAAAUGACAAAGAAGAUGAGAGAAAGAGAAAACCUUCUGAGAAGGAUGAACAAGAGGUUUGAGAUGUUGGAGAUCUUGGGAAUGAUAAAGGACGAGCUAGGGGAAUGCUGCAAGAAGACAGAUGAGCUUUGUGAUGCAGCCAAGACCUUAGCAGAAUGCACUGAAGGAGAGCCAUCUGAGAGGGAAAAGGAGCUUCUUGAGCAAAAGUAUAAGGAGAUAAGUCAAAAGGUGGAGGACCGAAAAAAAGACUUCGAAGAAUUUGUAGACAAAAUGGUAGAGAAAACAAGACAAAGACAAAAGAUUUCAGCAGAAGAGUGUGUCAAGAGAGUGGCAGCUGAGAAGGAAAAGGAACUUUUUGAGCAAAAGGUUAAAGAGCUGCAGGAACAGCUGGAGGACCAAGAAAGGGUCCCUGAGGAAUUAAGAGUCAAAAAGACAGAGAAACGAAGAGAAAGAGAAAAGACCUCAGCAGAAAUGCUGUCUGAAUUGGAGGUUGCUAUGCAAGAAAAGAAGCUUCUUGAGCAAAUGGUUAAAAAAUUGAAGCAAAAGUUGAAGGACCAAGAAAGAACCUUCGAGAGAUUUAGAGACAAACUCACAAAGGAGAUGAGAAAAAGAGACGACCUUCUGAGAAAGAUGAAUGAGAGGAUUCAGAUGCUGGAACGCUCACUGAGGUUACCGGAAACACUAGAGGAACAGGACAUGAAGAAAGGGCAGGCCAAAAGAAAGGCAGCUGAAAGGAAAAACAAGCCUCUUGCACAAAAGAUUAAAGAAUUGCAGCAAAAAUCGGAGAACCAAGAAAAAGUCUUCGAAGUAUUAAGAGUCAAAAUGACAGAGGAGUUGAAUGAAAGAGAGAAAGCCUCAGCAGAAGAGCAGACCAAAAGAGAGGCCGCUGAGAGGGAAAAGGAGUAUCUUGAAAAACAGGUUAAAGAAUUGGAGCAAAAUGUGGAGGACCAGGAAAGAGUCUUCCAGAGAUUAAGAACUGAAAUGACAGAAGAGAUGAAAGAAAGUGAAAAGGCCUCAGCAGGAGUAGAAGAGCAGAUCAAAAGAGAGGCUGCUGAGUGGGAAAAGGAGUCUGCUGAAAAACAGGUUAAAGAAUUGGAGCAAAAUGUGGAGGACCAAGAAAGAGUCUUCCAGAGAUUAAGAACUGAAAUGACAGAGGAAAUGAGAGAAAGUGAAAAGGCCUCAGCAGAAGAGCAGGCCAAAAGAAAGGCUGCUGAGAGGGAAAAGCUUUUAGAGCAAAAGCUUAAAGAAUUGCAACAAAAGUUUGAGGACCAAGAAAGAGCCUUCAAGGCAUUUAGAGUCCAAAUGACAGAAGAGGAACGAGAAAGAGACUACUUUCUGAGAAAGAUGAAUAAGAGGAUUGAGAUGCUGGAGGCUGCAGUGAACGAUGAUAACGACAAGGAUGUUGAGGAAAACACUGAAAAGUACUGAACUUCAUAGACACAGGAAGAUAAUGACAAAGAAAAUACUUCACAGCCUUUUGUUUUAGUCUCAGUUUGGGAGAACAUAAAGCAUGUGUGGUCACUAAUUACUCAGAUUUUUUGUUUCUUUCUUUUAAAUUCUGGUAAUAUUAAAAGUUUUCACAAGUGCUUUUUUGAUCUGGAUUAUUUUUAUCUAUGCACGUACUUUUUCUUUUAUCAUUAAAGUUUUAAUGUAAAAAAUAGAAAAAUCAUCUACUAUAGAAUAUCAAUUCCUGGCUCACAAAGGAAAGAAUUAGUGUGGUUGGAUAAUUAAUAUAAGUGGAAAUGGAAGCAACUGAGUAGAAGACAAAGAGAAUGUCAAAUUUGUAAUAUCUUGAAAAAAAGAAAAAUUUCAUUAAGUAAUGCUUCAGAAAGUCACAUAUGAAUAAUUAUACAAAUGAAUAUGUAUACUGUUUUCUUGAGAGGAAAGGACUAAUUUCUUAUACAAAACAACU